ACCUCCAAGUUGCCUGGGUAUUGGAAAUCCCUGAGGAAACUUGUUACUUUUGUAUGUUUAUGGUAAGGAGAGUGGUUUCUGGGGAAAACUGGUUAAUUGCUAUGGACUACACAGGUGAUCCCAACUUUCAUUAUUGUUUGUAUUAGAAUAACACCUAAAAGCCCCAGUUCAGCUUGAUGCCCUAUUGUGCACUGUACAGACACACAGUAAAAACAGACCCUGUCUCAAAGUACUUACAAUCUGAACAGACAAAACAGACACAGGGGUGCAAGGAAAGGACCAUAAUGAGGGACCCAAAAAAAGUUCUGAGGAAGGAAGGUGUAAGAUUUUUUUUUUUUUUUGAGAUGUGUCAAGUUCAAGAGUCCAAGAACUCUACAUUAGUGAUGUCCUAAAUUACAGUAACAAAUGAUGAGGUAACACUAGGUUUGUAGGUUUACAGAGCUAAAUGGAGGUGAAAAUGAAUGCCAUACCUUAUUACUAUUGACUGUCAGCUGUGUACUCAGCUUUGUAUAAAAGACACACUGGUAAUGAGGUAUGUUUGACAGCCAUGGGAGCCUUAGGUCCAUGCAGCUGAAGAGGACUCUAUUCAUUAAGGGGCCAUGCACCACACAUACUAAACCCAAUAUCCUCUGACCACUAUCCUCAAUUCCCCAUCCUGGGACUUGUCUUAGGUUGUGCAGGCACUAAAUCCCUACUCCUGCAAACUCUACUCAUGUAAAUAAAGACUGUUCAGUGUGUACAGUUUGACUACACUGAAGACGUGUUGCUUUUUAAAACGGAUGUGGUGAAGCAAAGAAAUUAGAAAAAAAAAUACCUUCGAAUAAGGAACCAACAUUUGUCUCGUGUCAAAUGAGCCUCUGCCAGAGUCUGGCCACCUUUUUCCCCAUACAGCUACUUGCUCCACAUCUAUCUCUAGGUAUUAGGCUAUAGGUGUGGCUGCAGAGACCAAAGGUCAUUCUCCAUUUUGGAAGACAGAGAAUCCUUGACUACAGGCGGCAGAACAGUGGCUGGCUGAAGCUUGCAGAAGACUCGCAUUGUAUGUAACGUUGAAAUAAAAAUAAUUUCGUUGUUAAAUACCAGCUGAACAGCAUGUACACAACCAGCAAGGAUGGACAGCCUGAAACCAUCAUCUGAACUGAGGUUUGGGAAC